GGAACAGCAGGUUGUCCACUAAUGUGCAUAGCAAUGAGUUCUAUUUUUAAAAGGACUGUUUCUCAGCAAGUGAUAUGUUUCUCAAAAGAUUCUACUGAAAACAUUGUCUUGUGGAAAAAUCCUUCAUAAAAUGCUUGUGUAUUAACUCACAAACAACUAAACUGGGAUGCUAAAAUGAUUGGAUUUUGUUUCAAAAUAUAUGACCUACAUUGUAAAAUUCCUUUUGAGAAGAAUGAAAACUACAGUUACAAAAUGAAUGUUUGGUGUGGUUUUACUGCUAGGAUUUGCUUAAACAUUUACAAAUCGAAUUAGAUGGAUGAGAACUCUUUCAGACAUGUAGAAACCUCAGAAGUUAUCACUUUCAUCUCUACAAGAAGAAAUUGAAGACACUGAACAUCACUAAGAUGAGAGCAUAGAUGCCACAAAAUGAGAUUUCACCCCAAUAUCUGGAGAGUGGAGAAGGUACUGAGAGUCCCAGGGUCCCAGGAAUAGAAGCUCUCUAAUGGAACCAGAGAUAGCAGUAUUAUUCACAAUAGUGCUGCAUAGAGAACUCUAAAAACUCAACAGGAAAAAAAAAAGAUUCAAGUAAAAAGCAAACUAAGAAUCCUAAAUCAUGGCUCACCAAGAAGCUAUAGAAAGGCAAGAUGUGAAAUAUGCCUAACAUCAUAUGUCAUUAGAGAACUACAAAGUAAAAGAAUGAGAAUACCAUUAAAUACCUGUACAAUGGCCAGAAUCUAAAAGACACUGAUAACUGAUACCACCAAAGACUCAUGAGAAUUUGGAACAAGACCCUCAUUCACUGCUGGUGUGGAUAACACUGAAAAUGUUUUGACAUUUUUUUUUUUACAAAACAAAACCUACCCUCAUUACUCAAUGCCACAUAAAAACACUUCUUUAUAUGUACUCAAAUGGCUAGGAAUCGUAGGUCCACACAGAAGUUUAUUCACAAGGUCAAAACUUGGAGACACACAGAUGUCCUUUUAUGAAUGGAUAAAUGAAUUGUGGUACAUUCAUAAAAUCGAAAGCUAUUCAGCCACAAAAAAAAAGAAAUAAAGUAUCGAUCUUGUAAAACACUUGAAGGGAAUUAAAUGCAUACUGCUAACUGAAAGAAGCCAGUCUGGAAUGCCUAUAAACAAUAAUAUUCCAAUCAUAUGGUAAUUUCAAAAAGACAACAUUAUAAGACCAUAAAAAGUCUGUGGGUUCUCAGUUUGGAGGAAUAAGAGGGAAGAAUAAAUUGGUAGAACACAUGGAAUCUUUUGAGUUGUGGAAACUACUCUGUUUGAUAUUAUGAUGGUGACCCCUGAUACUGUGCUCUUAUUAAAAUCAAUAGUACUGUACAAUGCUGAGUCAAUCUCAAUUUAAACUAUAGAUUUUACUUAAUAAUAAUGCACUAAUACUGGUUUAUUAGUCAUAAUAAAUGUUUUUCUCUGUUGCAAGUUAUUAGGGUAAUCUGAGGGUAGAGGCUGAUAUGUGUGAGCUCUAGGUAUGUUCUGCACCAUUUAUGUGUAAUACCACUUUAAAAUAAAAUUUUAUUAAUUAAAACUAUCAAGAGAGAAGCACACAUUAUAUAACUAUAUGUAAUAAUGAGGACUAAAUGAAGAAAAUAAAGAUAUGUACAAAAAUAAAGAUACAUACAUUAUAAGGACAUACACAUCAAACUAAUUAGAAUGGAUAAGAGAGGAAAUAAGAGUCAAUGAUGAGAAGGAAAACAGUGAGACAAGGAUUGGUGAUUAAAUAUAAUGUGUUAUUAAUAUAAGGGGCAUAUUAAUAACAUUUCUUUUUUAUUCUUAUUUUUUAUUUACAUAUGACAGUGGAAUGCAUUACAAUUCAUAUUACACAUAUAGAGCACACAUUUUUCAUAUCUCUGGUUGUAUACAAAGAAUAUUCACACCACUUUUCUCUGCCUAAGGAUUCACAAAGACAAAAACUCCUAAGAAUUACUUCUGCACUCUCAAUAUUGACAACCUGACCAUCCAUUGUAAUAAAAGAAAGUUAGCUCUUGUUUGGAAAGUUUAUAAUGGAUAAAUAACAAGGGAAAAGGAAGAGGAAGGCAGGUAGGAAGGAAACAGGACCGGGUCUCCUGUUUCCAAAGAAGGACUUAAUUUUGGUAACAUUGUUAAGCUGCUAAGAGCCCUGGAUGACACAGCAUUGCAGCUUGUCAGGAUGCCUGUACUCCCUUUAAAUCACUUUGGUACUUAUAGUAUGGCACAGGCACGUGUCAAUUAUCUCACCUUGAGUUUCAGUAAGCCAGUUGCAGUAAUCAAAAAUGAAUAAUGCAGGGACACUGAGUGGUCAUGGAAGAAUUACCUUCUGGGACGGUCAUCUAGUUUUGCAUAGGGCAAGUCAUACAUAAAGAGGUGUCUGAUGCCAGCUUCUCUGAAAUCCUUGUCUUGAUCAACAAGUGACAAACAAGUUAACAUUAUAUGAUAAGAAUGACUUCUUAAUUAUUAUGAUGAACUGUGAUAAGCUCUUUUCAGCGAACUUCAGAGCUCUUUUUUGGAUGCUCAGCACAUGUGCACAAGUUGAAACAGUUUGGAGGCUUUGCCCACCUUUAAGGAACCAUGUGUAAAUAUUCCACAAUCUCAACGUUAUCACUGGAGGCUCCAUCCUAUAAUGUCCAGCACAGGGAUAUUGUGCUGCAUCCUGGAAUUGGGUUUCAUUUGUGAUAGAUGCUGCUUAUAGAAGAAAACAGGAUCCUGCCUCUGCAAUGUCAGUCUGCCUCACGAAGGUGUGACCAUAUCACCUAAAAGGAGAAAGGGCUAACAACAUUUUAUUGGACAAUACAGGUUUAUAAACUGCUAUGAGCCAUGUUUGCUUACAGAUAUUUAAUAAAUACUAGCAUGGGUGCCAGAAUUUGACCAGAGACUUUACUCAUGAUAACCUCAUGGCAGCUGUAAAGGAGUGUAAAACUGUCAGGACACAAGUGUAAUAAAGCACCCCGGAACAACAAGUAUAAUGUGAAUUUAUAUUUCCUUGGAUUUAGCCACAAGAACACUUGAGUGAUUUGGUAAAAGAGGUUUCAGAAUUGUGAGGAAUUGAAACAGAAGAUAAGACAGUGCAACAGUAAAAUGUUAACUCUCUGAGCGAGUGUGAUACAAGGAGGAGGUUUGCCCAAAUGCUUUGCCUGAGAUACCGAGCAACCUGGCAGAGGGGAGCUCCCCCAGUGAGAGAGGUCACAUCCAGGCCACAACCAAUUCAGCUUCCCAGGGAAGUCAGGGUUCCCUCGCUCAGGCAUGAGAAGCCCCAUGUGCCCUGAAGGACUUGGGGUUCAGAGCAGCUGGCAUUCCACACUGUGCCUGGUAAUACCGGGCACAUACUUCUACACUGUCAGAUGUGAAACAGUGCGUCUCUAUACUGACAAGGUGCUUCCUACUUUGUGAUAAAGGUGAAAGUGACCCACAUACCCCUCAGUCUGAAUCAGGGCAGAAUGAGGGACCCAGGCUCUGUCUUUUCUUGUGAACCUUCACCAUGUGUAGAUCUGCUUUUAAUAUAAAAGUGAUCCUUUAUCUCACAUCAGGUAGUGGAGUUUAAUGUUCAGCAGGUGACAGGGAAUGGGUAUGAGAGUACUAUGUGAGUAAUGUAAGAUGGAAAUUGAGUCAUAGGGGGUUUCAUUGUUGGCAAUAGCCCAUGACUUAUUUUAUAGGCUAAAACAGCAAACAUAUUUGGAUGUUAAUGGAAAGUAGUCAAGAAAAUAGAAAAUGUUGAAGAACAUAAAAGCUGCUGAAUAAUCAAUAGAAAACAAGAAAGAAAGAAAGAGGCCACACUAUCUAGGACACAAACAGGAAAUGACAUAGACAGGUGGACAACUCUCCUACAAAUCAAAGGUAGAGCCAGCUGCCAAAGCUGGUGGUUUGCUGUGUCAAGAGAAGAGUUUAAGGAAGACCCCUUUCAUGUUCAGUUCUCCUAAUACCUCAGUCAGUUUCUAAUGUUCUCUUUGGUAGGCCAGAAUAAGUUAUGUGUUUUUCUCAACCUAAUUUUUAUGGUCAAGGAAUGUGCCACUUAGCCUUUGCUCUGAGUCUGACUUGUGGAUCUAUACCUAAGCCAAUCUCUCUGCAAGAAGAAUGGAAACACACUUGUAACAGCAGGGCAAUGCUAGCUGCUGUAACAAGCAAAGUGCUCAGAAAAAAAAGGGGGGGGGGAUUUCUGGCUACAAGAAAUCCAAGUCUUUGUUUAUUGUCAGGUCUCUCUCCCAUGAGUGACAAUUCAGGAAUUUUAGCUGUCUUAAUCCCUUUGUGCUUCUUUUACAAAAUAUUACAUGUUGUGUAAUUUAUAAAGAUUGCUAAUCUACUUUUUACAGUUCUUGAGGCUGCAAAGUCCCCAAUUGAGGCACUGGUAUUUAGGGUCUAUUGAGAGUCUCAUCACCAAUUCUCACAUAGCAGAAGAGAUGGAAGAACAAUGAAAAAGGAAAAGAUGCAGUUUCCUCAAAUGGCAGAAGAGAGGAAAACACUCAAGCCCUUUUAUCAGCUCCUGCUACCAUUGAUGAGGGUUCUGUCUUUAGGACUUAGUCACCUCCUACGGGCUCCAUCACUGACUAGUCUCCUUCAGGCCACUGAGUUUCAUCAGCCCAUGGUUUGGAGGGACACAAUCGGACCACAGCAAGCUCUGUGUGUCUGUGGCUUCACAGUCAUCCAUGAAAAUGUGCACGGUUGCAUUGCACAUGGGAUUCAAACCGGUGGAAAGAGAAAGUGCAGCAAGUUCCAGCCUUAUUAACUACAUUGUCAAGAAAAGGCAUGUUCACUUGUGCCUACCUUGUGUGGAGGUGAACCGGGCUCAUGGUCUUUCCUAGAUGUGGGAUUGUUUUGACUGCAGUCCCUGGAGGGACAGAUCCUUCUGUCACCACUUGCGUUCUGUGGGGUGUGAAGGGGAGAGGGUUACAGACAGCCAUUUUCACAGCAUGCAGUAGCAUAACUCUAGACUAUAGUUUGAACUGGUACUGGGUCCAAGGUCACCAAAAGGACAUCAGUACCACAAGGUGGUGGUGGAUAAAAUGAAUGUGAGAAAAUUAACACACGAAGUUUCCUAUGUCCUUUUAUGUUUUUCCAUAGAACUAUUUUGAAGAACAUACUAAUGAAAGGGGAAGGCCAGAGUUGAUGAGGAAAAACAAAACAACAAUCACACAAAAAAAAACUUUAAAAAUAUGUGACCUUAUUUUUGUCAUAGUUAUAUUAUUAUUUACCACAGUUUUUAAAGAAGCAGAGGUAUUUCCAGAUUCAAAGAUAUAUCUCUGAAAAUGAAAAAUAGUAUUAAAGCACAGUUUAUUAAAACCUUGCUAUUUCAAAAAAAAAAAAUUGUCCUAGAUAUAAUCUGGAAAAGUGGAGGGAAAUCUUUGUCUUUGUCGAUGAAUAGAGUUUUUCUUUAUAAACUUCAGGUGAAUUGGGGGCUAACAAAUAUUCAUGAAAAAAAUAUAUAAAAGUAUUCAAAUGACAUAGUAUAAGCAUACCUUUAUAAAUUAAAUAUUGAGUUAAGAUGAGGGUGUAUAUAGGAAUCAUAUCAUAGUAAUCAAGGAAUGGUUUUCAGAAAAGAAAAAUAAAAGAAUCCGUUACUGGAGAGGAGUUUUGAGGGAAGGAAUGAUGAAACAUUUUAAGCAAGAAUAAAUUUGAUGAUCUGGGAUAAAUAAACUUAUUAUCUAGGGUAAAAAUGAGCGUCAUUUUUAAGAUUAUUAAAUUUUACAUGAAAUGUGAAUAUAGUGAAUUAAAAACAGUAUUAAAGCACAAUUUAUUAAAACCUUGCUAUUUCAAAAAAAAGUUGUCCUUGAUAUAAUCUGGAAAAGUGGAGGGAUAUAAAAUUAGAAUAUUUCUGAUAUUAAGAAUCAAAAUAAUCACUAUCAUAGACUUACUAUAUGUGAACUACAUUUAAACAAUAAAUAAGACAAUUUUAAUGUCACUAGCAGCAGAAGGAAUAAUAUAAGUCUUUUUAGAAUCAAAUAGUAUUAAUAGAAGACUAUGCAGUUGAUCAGAAUGUAAUGUUUGGUUUUUAUGAAUAAAUCAAGCAAAUUAA